rnacentral:rRNA from 1 species
CGGCCGCGGUAUCCUAACCGUGCAAAGGUAGCGUAAUCACUUGUUCUUUAAAUAAGGACUAGUAUGAAUGGCACCACGAAGGUUAUACUGUCUCCUUUUUCCAAUCAGUGAAACUGAUCUCCCCGUGAAGAAGCGGGGAUCUACCUAUAAGACGAGAAGACCCUAUGGAGCUUUAAACACUAUAUCAUUUGUCCCAGCAAACAUAUUAAAAUUUUGCCCAGCAUUAUGAUUAUUAGUUUUAGGUUGGGGUGACCGCGGAGUAAAAUUUAACCUCCACAUUGAAUAAAAUUAUAUUUAAAUAAAGAGAGACAUCUCUACAUAUCAAUAAAUUGACAUUCAUUGACCCAAUAUUUUGAUCAACGAACCAAGUUACCCUAGGGAUAACAGCGCAAUCCGCUUUGAGAGUCCAUAUCGACAAGAGGGUUUACGACCUCGAUGUUGGAUCAAGGUAUCCCAGUGGUGCAGCCGCUACUAAAGGUUCGUUUGUUCAACGAUUAAAACCUUACGUGAUC